rnacentral:rRNA from 1 species
UACGAAGGGUGCAAGCGUUACUCGGAAUUACUGGGCGUAAAGCGUGCGUAGGUGGUUUGUUAAGUCUGAUGUGAAAGCCCUGGGCUCAACCUGGGAAUUGCAUUGGAUACUGGCAGCUAGAGUGCGGUAGAGGGUAGUGGAAUUCCCGGUGUAGCAGUGAAAUGCGUAGAGAUCGGGAGGAACAUCUGUGGCGAAGGCGACUACCUGGACCAGCACUGACACUGAGGCACGAAAGCGUGGGUAGCAAACAGG